rnacentral:lncRNA from 1 species
UUUUGCAUUGUUUUGCCAAGUUUUGUAUUUCUGGGGUGUUUAGUUGUGUGCCAAGUUUCGUAUUUCUGGGACGUUUAGUUGUGUUGUUAUAGUCAUGAUGCAUUGUUGUGAGUUUUGUGGGUCCGGAUUGUGGUUUUGUGGUGUGGUUGUGUUGUUACAAAUGGGAGGCAAGGCUUUUGCAUUGUUUUGCCAAGUUUUGUAUUUCUGGGGCGUUCAGUUGUGUGCCAAGUUUCGUAUUUCUGGGGCGUUUAGUUGUGUUGUUAUAGUCACGAUGCAUUGUUGUGAGUUUUGUGGUGUGGUUGUGUUGUUACAACCGGGAGGCAAGGCUUUUGCGUUGUGUUGUCAAGUUUUGUAUUUCUGGGGCGUUUAGUUGUGUUGUUAUCGCAUGAUGCGUUGUUGUGAGUUUUGUGGGUCUGGAUUGUGGUUUUGUGGUGUGGUUGUGUUGUUGUAACCUGGAGGCAAGCCUUUUGCAUUGUGUUGCCAAAUUUUGUAUUCCUGGGAUGUUUAGUUUUGUUGUUAUAGUCACUGCGCAAACAACUUUAUCAUUUUAUAUAUAUAGAUUACAUUUAACUGUCAGCUGUCCUCCAUUUGGUACUCUUCACUAACUUCACUAGCUAUAGCAACAGGGGCUUCUUUUAUAUGUUCAUACAAUUUGAUGAAUGUCAUCAUCUUUCAUCAAUGUCUUCCCAUUGCCUUCAAGGAACAAAUAUGUUACUAUACGCAAAUAAAUGAAGGGAUAGAAAUUUCAUUUCAAAAUAGCAACCCCCAGAAAAGAAAAGAGAUUUCAGUCUCCUAGCCUGGAGAUUCUGCUUCUAUUUUUUUUUUUUAAAAAAAAAGGAGCUUCAAUGGCAAACUAUAAUGUAUAAUAUUAUUUAUUUAGAAUCAAGAAACAAGGAGUUCUGUCAUACUAUAUUUCCAUAGCAUAACUUUAAAUACUCUGCUAUCAAUAAUUACUUCUGUUUCUGGUGGCUGAUGGCUCCCAUGCCAGUGGUUUGAAAUGCAAAGCAGCUGUCCAAGGUGCUGAACCUAUUUCAUCAUUGAAAGGAAAAUCUCCAUGAUUGCCUUUAAGUGAAUCUCUGCCAGCACAGGUGCAGGUAGAAUUAUAUGGCUGAAAAGAACAUGGCUGUGAGACAGAAAGACUCUCAUCCAACUGCUAACAGUUCAAGGGAGCAGUUCCCAGGAGAUCAUAGAAGGUACCCUUACUGCCAAAAAUCUUUAAAAAAUCAUACCCUUCAGAAUAAAGACAAGACAGCUGGAGGCUUGAAAUUUAAAUAAAUACAACUCCAAGCAUAACCAGAUUUCUAAUGGAUUCCAUACAAAGGAAGAAUCACAGCCAAGGAAGUAACUAACCAAUAGUGAAAUGGGAGGAGGGGAUGGUGCGUAUUUCUCCAAAUUUGUAAUUUUGUGUUUACUAUUUUCGGUCCACAUGGUAUUUUCUCAUGUUUGUAUUGAUUUUAUGUAUUUAUUUGGAAAAUUUAUAUCCUACUGUUCAGUGACAAAUGUUCUCUGAGCAUCUGACUAAUUGUAAAUUUGACAGUUCCUAAAUAACAGAGAAUGGCCAUGUUUCCAAUGGAGAAUGCAAUAAAAUGUAAAGAGGAGUGUCUCUGUUGCUGCCAAUUAGCAUAGUUACUAUGGGGAUCCAGGGAGGGUGCACCUCAGAGAAAUUUUAUUUUUUAAAGCUGACAUUUGGUGAAGUAAAUCUGAUUUUACCUUUGAGUACUAUCAGCAGUCAUUAGUUGGUGGAUAUCACUAGACUACUUUAAACAGGUCUGAAAUAUUUAUUUUUCCAGAGGAUUGCCAGUUAACUUGGUGUGAUGCUCCUCUUCAAAGUCAUCAAAAUCCUUCUAAAAAGAGAAUGGGUAAGAAAGAAAAGGCCUGCUAAGGACAAGGGAGUAACAGAUAUGUGACUGGAGGGAGAAAAAGACCUGUGAGAAAGAAAGGGAAUAUGAAGAAAAAAAACCAGAAGGAAAGAGAAAGAGCUCUACUAGUUAUUUUUAUUGAUUGGGCUCCAAGCAGAUUCAUGCACUUCAAAGAGUAUAUUUCAAAUGAGCACUCUUUUCAUUUUGGGAGAUGAUUGAGACAAAGAAAGUGUUUUAUUAUCAAAAUAGGUUUAGAUAGCUCCUUUAAAAUUUAGAUUAAAGCUCAAAUUCAGGCAGCUACUGCCAUGGAAUUGACCAUCUAUUACGAGAUAUUUUGCAAUCAAAACAACUGAAUACAGAUGCCCCCUUUCAAGAAAUAAGUAUUUUUUUAUUUUACUGAAAAUAUGUAUUACUAUUAUUUUUCAAAUAUAAUAACUAGAAAAGGGAAGACUUGCAUUUGUAAAAUGGUGCCAUGGGUUUUAAACAACCAGGGUAGUUUUACAAGGAUUUUCUCAGUGGGUGCAUUUUAGGUAAUAAAACAGAAGUACUAUGGGCCCUUAGUUUGUACUGGGGUUUGGUUCAAGAACCUCUCUGGAAAUCUGUGGAUGCUUAAGUUCCAGGCAGUCCCUGAGUUACAAACAUCUGACUCAUAGUUAAGAACAAAUGACUCAUAGUUAAGAACAGGGGUGAAACAACAGGAAGUGAGAUAAAUCUACCCCUAAGAGGGGAAAUUCACUCCUGAAAGAGAUAUCAUGGGGAAAAGUGUUGGCACCCUGGACUACUCAAGUCUAAAUGUAGUCAGAUAGAUGAUAGAGUUAGAUUGAGGGAAUUCUUUCCCUGUUUCCAAAGCAUGCCUAGAUAGGCUUUACUGUGUUUCACUCUAUCCUGUUUACGUCACAUCCCUUACUUUGAAGUUAGUAAAAAUGUGAAUCUCUAGGGACAGUAACUUCUCAUUGAUCAGAAUGUCUUUUAUGGCCCCAAUAAACUGGACCAUGAGGUUGGAACCAUUUUGGUUCACUCUUCUCUCUUUGUUCUUCUAGCUAACAAGAAGCAUCUCACCAUCUCUCCUGGCAAGAUGUAACUGUUUAGAUGUUUGUUAUUUUUCCUUUCUUAUUUUUCCUUAGAAACCAGUCUAGAAUAGACUAGACAGCUCCCAAGCCUUUCUAUCUACAAUGGAGUUCUUUUUACCUGAAUAAAUACUUUUUGAACUUUUACUGAGACUCUGCAGUCCAUUGCAAUCCUAAAUGGUCAAAGGCUUCUCUUGCUCACCCUGUGUAAGUAACUGAUGCAUUUGAAAGCUUUUGCUUUUGCUACUCUGCUGAUUUUUGGUGGAAUCUCCCCCAGAGACGGUUAAAUUGAGUCUAACCACUCAGAGAUUACCACAACAAAAAGGAGUCUCAACUGAAGCUUUAUCACCAGUGAUUGUUUCCACAAAAAGCAUUUUCCCCCAAAAUCCAAUUGUUACAAGAACAGAAAGAGAGACAAAAUCUUUUGAACAGGGGCACAGGCAGCAAAACAAACACUAAAGGGAUGUUAACCUUUCCCUAUACUAUUCAAAGCUGGACUGUUACACUUUUAAAAUGUUCCAACCUACAUACAAAUGCAACCUAAGAACAAAUCCACAGAACCUAUCUUGUUCGGAACUUUGGGACUAGCUAUAAUGGCAUAGUAAAAUGACAUCACAUAUAUAAAAUGCCAUAUAUAUAGCAUUAUCUAUUUUCAAGUCAUGGAUAGUUGAAUGCAUGGAUACAGAACCAGUGAAAAGGAGGACUGCCUAAACAUCUGCAAGCUUUAGUAUUCCAAACAAAAAAAAUAAUAGACCACAACCAGAUUGGGAUGAAACUUAAUAUUCUGACAUCUUGUCUCCAGGGGAUUCUAUCAAAAGGGGCUUUUUUCAGC